CUGCCUGGUAGUGGGGGAUAACGUUCCGAAAGGAACGCUAAUACCGCAUACGUCCUACGGGAGAAAGGGGGGGAUCUUCGGACCUCUCGCUAUCAGAUGAGCCCAAGCGGGAUUAGCUAGUUGGUGAGGUAAAGGCUCACCAAGGCGACGAUCCCUAGCUGGUCUGAGAGGAUGAUCAGCCACACUGGAACUGAGACACGGUCCAGACUCCUACGGGAGGCAGCAGUGGGGAAUAUUGGACAAUGGGCGAAAGGGCUGAUCCAGCCAUGCCGCGUGUGUGAAGAAGGCCUUCGGGUUGUAAAGCACUUUAAGCGAGGAGGAAGGUUCGUCACCUAAUACGUGACGGAAUUGACGUUACUCGCAGAAUAAGCACCGGGCUAACUCUGUGCCAGCAGCCGCGGUAAUACAGAGGGUGCAAGCGUUAAUCGGAUUACUGGGCGUAAAGCGCGCGUAGGCGGUGUGUAGUUGGAUGUGAAAUCCCCGGGCUUAACCUGGGCACUGCAUUCAAAACUGCACGGCUAGAGUAUCGUAGAGGAAGGUAGAAUUCCAGGUGUAGCGGUGAAAUGCGUAGAGAUCUGGAGGAAUACCGAUGGCGAAGGCAGCCUUCUGGCCUAAUACUGACGCUGAGGUGCGAAAGCAUGGGGAGCAAACAGGAUUAGAUACCCUGGUAGUCCAUGCCGUAAACGAUGUCAACUAGGUGUUGGGGAACUUGAUUCCUUAGUGCCGCAGCUAACGCAUUAAGUUGACCGCCUGGGGAGUACGGUCGCAAGACUAAAACUCAAAUGAAUUGACGGGGGCCCGCACAAGCGGUGGAGCAUGUGGUUUAAUUCGAUGCAACGCGAAGAACCUUACCUACUCUUGACAUCCAGAGAAUCCUGUAGAGAUACGGGAGUGCCUUCGGGAAUUCUGAGACAGGUGCUGCAUGGCUGUCGUCAGCUCGUGUCGUGAGAUGUUGGGUUAAGUCCCGCAACGAGCGCAACCCUUAUCCUUAGUUGCCAGC
rnacentral:rRNA from 1 species